AUUGAACGCUGGCGGCAGGCCUAACACAUGCAAGUCGAGCGAGCGGCGGACGGGUGAGUAAUGUCUGGGAAACUGCCUGAUGGCGGGGGAUAACUACUGGAAACGGUAGCUAAUACCGCAUACCAUCAGAUGUGCCCAGAUGGGAUUAGCUAGUAGGUGGGGUGAUGGCUCACCUAGGCGACGAUCCCUAGCCGGUCUGAGAGGAUGACCAGACACAGGGGAACGGAGACACGGACCAGACGCCUACGGGAGGGAGCAGUGGGGAAGAGUGCACAAUGGGGGCAAGCAUGGUACAGCGAGGCGGCGUGUGAGAAGAAGGCGGUCGGUGUGGAAAGCACGGGGAGCGGGGAUGCGGUACCGGCAGAAGAAGCACCGGCGAACUCCGGGCCAGCAGCCGCGGUAAUUC
rnacentral:rRNA from 1 species